rnacentral:lncRNA from 1 species
CAAGAACUCGCAAAAGCAACUUCCUUUUGUGUUUUGAUUAUAGUUCAGCAGAAGCUAGCAGAGAUAUUUUCUGAUUAAUUUGAAGACUAUGGAAACCCCUUGGGCAGGUUUUUAAUAGGGCAACUUCAUUUGAGUUUUAUUUUUUUUUUCUCUUAAUAUAUGUAUUCACAAAUAAAUUUUCUAAUAUGAAUUUUUCAGGGAAAGACGAGUGGUUGGAGGGCCGUCCUACGAAAAUUUUAAGUAUGCUCGAUGAUGAGAAAGACAAUAAAGAUAAUCUUGAUCUUCUUAUUAUUCCUCAAUAUGGAAGAAAU